AAACAUGUCUUUUUGCUUUAAAAAAAGUCAUGCCUGCACACUGAAGUGUUAAAGAGCUGCAGUAUAUUAACUGUGCUAAGGUAGCAUAAUAAUUUGUUUUUUAAUUGAAAACUUGGAUGAAAGGUUUGAUGUUUACGAACUAUCUUUUUACUACAGAUGAAAUUAGCUUUCAGUUAAAAUUCUGAGAUAUUAUUAAGGGACGAUAAGACCCCGUAAAAUUAGUUUUAUUUUUAUUAGGGUUAGACGAGAGUGUUAAAUAAAUUGGUUGGGGCGAUUUUUAUGUAAUAAGUAGCUGUAGAAUUGUGUAACACAAGUUAAGUGAUUUUUUUGACCCUUAAUAGAUUACAAGAUUAAAUUACUUCAGGGAUAACAGCGUUAUUUCUUUUAGAGUUCUUAUCGAAGGAGAAGUUUGCGACCUCGAUGUUGAAUUAAGAUCCCUUUAAGGGUGCAGAAGC
rnacentral:rRNA from 1 species